rnacentral:rRNA from 1 species
AGUGAACGCUGGCGGUAGGCCUAACACAUGCAAGUCGAACGGCAGCACAGUAAGAGCUUGCUCUUACGGGUGGCGAGUGGCGGACGGGUGAGGAAUACAUCGGAAUCUACUUUUUCGUGGGGGAUAACGUAGGGAAACUUACGCUAAUACCGCAUACGACCUACGGGUGAAAGCAGGGGAUCUUCGGACCUUUCGCGAUUGAAUGAGCCGAUGUCGGAUUAGCUAGUUGGCGUGGUAAAGGCCCACCAAGGCGACGAUCCGUAGCUGGUCUGAGAGGAUGAUCAGCCACACUGGAACUGAGACACGGUCCAGACUCCUACGGGAGGCAGCAGUGGGGAAUAUUGGACAAUGGGCGAAAGCCUGAUCCAGCCAUACCGCGUGGGUGAAGAAGGCCUUCGGGUUGUAAAGCCCUUUUGUUGGGAAAGAAAAGCAGCAGGUUAAUACCCCGCUGUUCUGACGGUACCCAAAGAAUAAGCACCGGCUAACUUCGUG